AACUCUGUGUUGUUGUUUGUGUCACACUGCUUUGCUUUAUCUUGGCCAGGUUGCAGUUUUAAAUGAGAACUUGCUCUCAACUGGCCUACCUGGUUAAAUAAAGGUGGAAUGAGCUGACGGUUGGUCUCUGACACUAUCCACAGGUGUGACCUACUAAUUAUGACAUAAUUGUUCCAUCAUUGUAAUGCCUUGCUUACUGGGUGUGUCAGGUCUAUCUGUAAUAUCUACUGUAUUUGUCUGUGUGUGUUUUGGCAAACCAUGGAUUGCCCCUGUGCAGAACUGUGAAUCCAUUUUAUGGAUGUCAUUUAACUGGCCACAGACUGUAGCCAGCCAGUAAUUUAGACAUGCAUUUCAUUUCUCUUAAAACUAUAUUCUGUCAUUGCCCACAAAAGGAAAACGGCCCAGCAGUGAUUAAAGUGUUUGUGAUGUCCCCGGAGGAGGACAUACUGUAUCAGCGUUAACCCUGCUGACACACACCUCUGACACACAGACACGUGCACUAUGGACAAACACACACACGCAUGUAUUAUGGACACACACACACGUACUAUGGACACACACACACAUGUACUAUGGACACACACACUGAUGCUCCUGAAGCUUUCUCCAAGAGGAGGAGAGUCAUGUUAUCAUGCAGGCCAAAUUCUUGGCAGAAAGUUCCAUUGUAAAGGGCCAAAUUCCUGCUUGGUUAAAUAAAUAGGCGCCAUCCCACUGUAGCUGAGGAGAGGAGAGGGUCUUUCAUAACUCACUCCUCGCUGUCCUUCCUUCCUUCCUUCCUUCCUUCCUUCCUUCCUUUCUUCCUUUCUUCCUUUCUUCCUUUCUUCCUUUCUUCCUUUCUUCCUUUCUUCCUUCCUUCCUUCCUAGUGGCCUGGUUAUGUAAUGUGUAAGGCUUUGUGACCUGACCAGGGGAAACUCUGGGUUCUAAAUGAGAGGGGUUCACCCCAAUACCUUCUGGUAGAGAUGGCACGGCCUGGAUAUAGACGAGGGUUGUCUAUUUGGGAGUGUAUCCCCUUAUUGGUUUGUAAUUUCUUUGAGUGAAUGUCUUGUCUCAAGGAGGAGGGAAAGAAGUGGAGUGGAUAAGGAGUGAAAGGGAGAGGUUAAGAACAGUAGAUAAGGAGUGAAAGGAAGAGGUUAAGAACAGUGGAUAAGGAGUGAAAGGAAGAGGUUAAGAACAGUAGAUAAGGAGUGAAAGGGAGAGGUUAAGAACAGUAGAUAAGGAGUGAAAGGAAGAGGUUAAGAACAGUAGAUAAGGAGUGAAAGGAAGAGGUUAAGAACAGUGGAUAAGGAGUGAAAGGAAGAGGUUAAGAACAGUGGAUAAGGAGUGAAAGGGAGAGGUUAAGAACAGUAUAUAAGGAGUGAAAGGAAGAGGUUAAGAACAGUGGAUAAGGAGUGAAAGGGAGAGGUUAAGAACAGUGGAUAAGGAGUGAAAGGAAGAGGUUAAGAACAGUGGAUAAGGAGUGAAAGGGAGAGGUUAAGAACAGUGGAUAAGGAGUGAAAGGAAGAGGUUAAGAACAGUAGAUAAGGAGUGAAAGGAAGAGGUUAAGAACAGUAGAUAAGGAGUGAAAGGAAGAGGUUAAGAACAGUGGAUAAGGAGUGAAAGGAAGAGGUUAAGAACAGUGGAUAAGGAGUGAAAGGAAGAGGUUAAGAACAGUAGAUAAGGAGUGAAAGGAAGAGGUUAAGAACAGUGGAUAAGGAGUGAAAGGGAGAGGUUAAGAACAGUGGAUAAGGAGUGAAAGGAAGAGGUUAAGAACAGUAGAUCAGGAGUGAAAGGAAGAGGUUAAGAACAGUAGAUAAGGAGUGAAAGGGAGAGGUUAAGAACAGUUGAUAAGGAGUGAAAGGAAGAGGUUAAGAACAGUAGAUCAGGAGUGAAAGGAAGAGGUUAAGAACAGUAGAUAAGGAGUGAAAGGGAGAGGUUAAGAACAGUGGAUAAGGAGUGAAAGGGAGAGGUUAAGAACAGUGGAUAAGGAGUGAAAGGAAGAGGUUAAGAACAGUGGAUAAGGAGUGAAAGGGAGAGGUUAAGAACAGUGGAUAAGGAGUGAAAGGAAGAGGUUAAGAACAGUAUAUAAGGAGUGAAAGGAAGAGGUUAAGAACAGUGGAUAAGGAGUGAAAGGGAGAGGUUAAGAACAGUGGAUAAGGAGUGAAAGGAAGAGGUUAAGAACAGUAGAUCAGGAGUGAAAGGAAGAGGUUAAGAACAGUAGAUAAGGAGUGAAAGGGAGAGGUUAAGAACAGUUGAUAAGGAGUGAAAGGAAGAGGUUAAGAACAGUAGAUAAGGAGUGAAAGGAAGAGGUUAAGAACAGUGGAUAAGGAGUGAAAGGGAGAGGUUAAGAACAGUGGAUAAGGAGUGAAAGGAAGAGGUUAAGAACAGUAGAUAAGGAGUGAAAGGAAGAGGUUAAGAACAGUAGAUAAGGAGUGAAAGGAAGAGGUUAAGAACAGUGGAUAAGGAGUGAAAGGAAGAGGUUAAGAACAGUGGAUAAGGAGUGAAAGGGAGAGGUUAAGAACAGUAUAUAAGGAGUGAAAGGAAGAGGUUAAGAACAGUGGAUAAGGAGUGAAAGGAAGAGGUUAAGAACAGUAGAUAAGGAGUGAAAGGAAGAGGUUAAGAACAGUGGAUAAGGAGUGAAAGGGAGAGGUUAAGAACAGUGGAUAAGGAGUGAAAGGAAGAGGUUAAGAACAGUAGAUAAGGAGUGAAAGGAAGAGGUUAAGAACAGUAGAUAAGGAGUGAAAGGAAGAGGUUAAGAACAGUGGAUAAGGAGUGAAAGGAAGAGGUUAAGAACAGUGGAUAAGGAGUGAAAGGAAGAGGUUAAGAACAGUAGAUAAGGAGUGAAAGGGAGAGGUUAAGAACAGUAGAUAAGGAGUGAAAGGAAGAGGUUAAGAACAGUAGAUAAGGAGUGAAAGGAAGAGGUUAAGAACAGUAGAUAAGGAGUGAAAGGGAGAGGUUAAGAACAGUGGAUAAGGAGUGAAAGGAAGAGGUUAAGAACAGUGGAUAAGGAGUGAAAGGGAGAGGUUAAGAACAGUAGAUAAGGAGUGAAAGGAAGAGGUUAAGAACAGUAGAUAAGGAGUGAAAGGGAGAGGUUAAGAACAGUAGAUAAGGAGUGAAAGGAAGAGGUUAAGAACAGUAGAUAAGGAGUGAAAGGAAGAGGUUAAGAACAGUAGAUAAGGAGUGAAAGGAAGAGGUUAAGAACAGUGGAUAAGGAGUGAAAGGAAGAGGUUAAGAACAGUGGAUAAGGAGUGAAAGGAAGAGGUUAAGAACAGUAGAUAAGGAGUGAAAGGGAGAGGUUAAGAACAGUAGAUAAGGAGUGAAAGGAAGAGGUUAAGAACAGUAGAUAAGGAGUGAAAGGAAGAGGUUAAGAACAGUAGAUAAGGAGUGAAAGGGAGAGGUUAAGAACAGUAGAUAAGGAGUGAAAGGAAGAGGUUAAGAACAGUGGAUAAGGAGUGAAAGGGAGAGGUUAAGAACAGUAGAUAAGGAGUGAAAGGAAGAGGUUAAGAACAGUGGAUAAGGAGCGAAAGGGAGAGGUUAAGAACAGUGGAUAUGGAGGAGGAGAAGGAGUGAAAGGAAGAGGUUAAGAACAGUAGAUAAGGAGUGAAAGGAAGAGGUUAAGAACAGUGGAUAAGGAGUGAAAGGGAGAGGUUAAGAACAGUGGAUAAGGAGUGAAAGGAAGAGGUUAAGAACAGUGGAUAAGGAGUGAAAGGGAGAGGUUAAGAACAGUGGAUAAGGAGUGAAAGGGAGAGGUUAAGAACAGUAGAUAAGGAGUGAAAGGAAGAGGUUAAGAACAGUAGAUAAGGAGUGAAAGGAAGAGGUUAAGAACAGUGGAUAAGGAGUGAAAGGAAGAGGUUAAGAACAGUGGAUAAGGAGUGAAAGGAAGAGGUUAAGAACAGUGGAUAAGGAGUGAAAGGAAGAGGUUAAGAACAGUGGAUAAGGAGUGAAAGGAAGAGGUAAAGAACAGUAGAUAAGGAGUGAAAGGAAGAGGUUAAGAACAGUGGAUAAGGAGUGAAAGGAAGAGGUUAAGAACAGUGGAUAAGGAGUGAAAGGAAGAGGUAAAGAACAGUAGAUAAGGAGUGAAAGGAAGAGGUAAAGAACAGUAGAUAAGGAGUGAAAGGAAGAGGUUAAGAACAGUAGAUAAGGAGUGAAAGGAAGAGGUUAAGAACAGUGGAUAAGGAGUGAAAGGAAGAGGUUAAGAACAGUGGAUAAGGAGUGAAAGGAAGAGGUUAAGAACAGUAGAUAAGGAGUGAAAGGAAGAGGUUAAGAACAGUAGAUAAGGAGUGAAAGGAAGAGGUUAAGAACAGUGGAUAAGGAGUGAAAGGAAGAGGUUAAGAACAGUGGAUAAGGAGUGAAAGGAAGAGGUAAAGAACAGUAGAUAAGGAGUGAAAGGAAGAGGUUAAGAACAGUAGAUAAGGAGUGAAAGGAAGAGGUUAAGAACAGUAGAUAAGGAGUGAAAGGGAGAGGUUAAGAACAGUGGAUAAGGAGUGAAAGGAAGAGGUUAAGAACAGUAGAUAAGGAGUGAAAGGGAGAGGUUAAGAACAGUAGAUAAGGAGUGAAAGGAAGAGGUUAAGAACAGUAGAUAAGGAGUGAAAGGAAGAGGUUAAGAACAGUAGAUAAGGAGUGAAAGGGAGAGGUUAAGAACAGUGGAUAAGGAGUGAAAGGGAGAGGUUAAGAACAGUAGAUAAGGAGUGAAAGGAAGAGGUUAAGAACAGUAGAUAAGGAGUGAAAGGAAGAGGUUAAGAACAGUAGAUAAGGAGUGAAAGGAAGAGGUUAAGAACAGUAGAUAAGGAGUGAAAGGAAGAGGUUAAGAACAGUGGAUAAGGAGUGAAAGGAAGAGGUUAAGAACAGUAGAUAAGGAGUGAAAGGAAGAGGUUAAGAACAGUAGAUAAGGAGUGAAAGGGAGAGGUUAAGAACAGUAGAUAAGGAGUGAAAGGAAGAGGUUAAGAACAGUGGAUAAGGAGUGAAAGGAAGAGGUUAAGAACAGUGGAUAAGGAGUGAAAGGAAGAGGUUAAGAACAGUGGAUAAGGAGUGAAAGGAAGAGGUUAAGAACAGUAGAUAAGGAGUGAAAGGGAGAGGUUAAGAACAGUAGAUAAGGAGUGAAAGGAAGAGGUUAAGAACAGUAGAUAAGGAGUGAAAGGAAGAGGUUAAGAACAGUGGAUAAGGAGUGAAAGGAAGAGGUUAAGAACAGUAGAUAAGGAGUGAAAGGAAGAGGUUAAGAACAGUGGAUAAGGAGUGAAAGGAAGAGGUUAAGAACAGUAGAUAAGGAGUGAAAGGAAGAGGUUAAGAACAGUGGAUAAGGAGCGAAAGGGAGAGGUUAAGAACAGUGGAUAUGGAGGAGGAGAAGGAGUGAAAGGAAGAGGUUAAGAACAGUAGAUAAGGAGUGAAAGGAAGAGGUUAAGAACAGUGGAUAAGGAGUGAAAGGGAGAGGUUAAGAACAGUGGAUAAGGAGUGAAAGGAAGAGGUUAAGAACAGUAUAUAAGGAGUGAAAGGAAGAGGUUAAGAACAGUGGAUAAGGAGUGAAAGGGAGAGGUUAAGAACAGUGGAUAAGGAGUGAAAGGAAGAGGUUAAGAACAGUGGAUAAGGAGUGAAAGGGAGAGGUUAAGAACAGUGGAUAAGGAGUGAAAGGAAGAGGUUAAGAACAGUGGAUAAGGAGUGAAAGGGAGAGGUUAAGAACAGUGGAUAAGGAGUGAAAGGAAGAGGUUAAGAACAGUAGAUCAGGAGUGAAAGGAAGAGGUUAAGAACAGUAGAUAAGGAGUGAAAGGGAGAGGUUAAGAACAGUGGAUAAGGAGUGAAAGGAAGAGGUUAAGAACAGUGGAUAAGGAGUGAAAGGGAGAGGUUAAGAACAGUAGAUAAGGAGUGAAAGGAAGAGGUUAAGAACAGUGGAUAAGGAGUGAAAGGGAGAGGUUAAGAACAGUGGAUAUGGAGGAGGAGAAGGAGUGAAAGGAAGAGGUUAAGAACAGUAGAUAAGGAGUGAAAGGAAGAGGUUAAGAACAGUGGAUAAGGAGUGAAAGGGAGAGGUUAAGAACAGUGGAUAAGGAGUGAAAGGAAGAGGUUAAGAACAGUAGAUAAGGAGUGAAAGGAAGAGGUUAAGAACAGUAGAUAAGGAGUGAAAGGAAGAGGUUAAGAACAGUGGAUAAGGAGUGAAAGGGAGAGGUUAAGAACAGUAGAUAAGGAGUGAAAGGAAGAGGUUAAGAACAGUGGAUAAGGAGUGAAAGGAAGAGGUUAAGAACAGUAGAUAAGGAGUGAAAGGAAGAGGUUAAGAACAGUAGAUAAGGAGUGAAAGGAAGAGGUUAAGAACAGUGGAUAAGGAGUGAAAGGAAGAGGUUAAGAACAGUGGAUAAGGAGUGAAAGGAAGAGGUUAAGAACAGUAGAUAAGGAGUGAAAGGAAGAGGUUAAGAACAGUGGAUAAGGAGUGAAAGGAAGAGGUUAAGAACAGUGGAUAAGGAGUGAAAGGGAGAGGUUAAGAACAGUGGAUAAGGAGUGAAAGGAAGAGGUUAAGAACAGUGGAUAAGGAGUGAAAGGAAGAGGUUAAGAACAGUGGAUAAGGAGUGAAAGGAAGAGGUUAAGAACAGUGGAUAAGGAGUGAAAGGAAGAGGUAAAGAACAGUAGAUAAGGAGUGAAAGGAAGAGGUAAAGAACAGUAGAUAAGGAGUGAAAGGAAGAGGUUAAGAACAGUAGAUAAGGAGUGAAAGGAAGAGGUUAAGAACAGUGGAUAAGGAGUGAAAGGAAGAGGUUAAGAACAGUGGAUAAGGAGUGAAAGGAAGAGGUUAAGAACAGUGGAUAAGGAGUGAAAGGAAGAGGUUAAGAACAGUGGAUAAGGAGUGAAAGGAAGAGGUUAAGAACAGUGGAUAAGGAGUGAAAGGAAGAGGUUAAGAACAGUGGAUAAGGAGUGAAAGGAAGAGGUAAAGAACAGUAGAUAAGGAGUGAAAGGAAGAGGUUAAGAACAGUGGAUAAGGAGUGAAAGGAAGAGGUUAAGAACAGUGGAUAAGGAGUGAAAGGAAGAGGUUAAGAACAGUGGAUAAGGAGUGAAAGGAAGAGGUUAAGAACAGUGGAUAAGGAGUGAAAGGAAGAGGUAAAGAACAGUAGAUAAGGAGUGAAAGGAAGAGGUAAAGAACAGUAGAUAAGGAGUGAAAGGAAGAGGUUAAGAACAGUAGAUAAGGAGUGAAAGGAAGAGGUUAAGAACAGUGGAUAAGGAGUGAAAGGAAGAGGUUAAGAACAGUGGAUAAGGAGUGAAAGGAAGAGGUUAAGAACAGUGGAUAAGGAGUGAAAGGAAGAGGUUAAGAACAGUGGAUAAGGAGUGAAAGGAAGAGGUAAAGAACAGUAGAUAAGGAGUGAAAGGAAGAGGUUAAGAACAGUAGAUAAGGAGUGAAAGGAAGAGGUUAAGAACAGUAGAUAAGGAGUGAAAGGAAGAGGUUAAGAACAGUGGAUAAGGAGUGAAAGGAAGAGGUUAAGAACAGUAGAUAAGGAGUGAAAGGGAGAGGUUAAGAACAGUAGAUAAGGAGUGAAAGGAAGAGGUUAAGAACAGUAGAUAAG